CCAGGAAAUUAUAAAAAUAUAUUAUAUGUAUUUUUUUUGUUUAUACAACUAAAAAUAAAAUAUUAAUUGCUACAUAGAAUCAAGAUUAAUGAGUUGUGAAACUCAGCUCUCUCUCUCUCUCUCUCUCAUCCUUAUCAGCAUCCGCAUGAACUCAAAGCCCUUCACCUGAAUAAGAGGAAAUUAAGCAGUACUAUCAUCAAAACACGCAUAUAUUAGCUGAAAUCAUGAUCGUAUAAUUAAAAUGGGUCCAAAUUGAUAAAUUAAAAAAAGCAAGAAUCUAGCGUGACUAUAUGGGAGAGAGAGAGACAGACAGAGGUGUAAAAAUAGUAUGCUAUAAGAAGUAAAAAGAAUAUAGUUAGAGAGGUACAGACACAAGAUAAUAAGAAUAUCUGUGUAUGUAUAUAUGUCUCCGGAGAGGAAGGAGUGAUGCUGUCAGAGCAUGACCUAGUUCGGGCUCAUUUUUCAUUUCUUUUAUAGAAACAGUUUCAUCUUCUUUCUAGAAGAAAGCGAAGAAGAAACAAACUAUCCCGACGUAGAUCAUGCUGGCAGCUUCACUUAUUCCUUUCCAAGAUACUUCAUCAAAUCAAGAAGCAGCUGCGAGCAUAUAAGAGAGAAAAGAGAGAGAGAGAGAAUUUUGUGUUUAAUUGUUGAGAGAGGUAGGAAUAGGAAUAGAUAUUUAUAGGAGGAGAAAUGAUGAAGAAGACAAACUCACAUUUCUUAACAGUAAAUUUAAGGCAUAGUCAUGUGGGCAGCUAAGAAAGAUAUAAUUAAAGGAAAUAUUUACAGCUAACAACCUAUAUGCUUCACUGCAUAGCUCUCUCUAUAGGUUUGGUUCAUAACUUUCCCACACACACACACACACACUAUUAUAUAUAUAGAUAGAUAGAUACAACAGGUGCGAGGGGGGUGGGGAUGCUUUGCUAAUCAUCAGAAUAAUAAAAAAGAAGGCAAAGGUAGGGUUUUGGUCAACUGUAAUAUGACACUUCUUGUUUGUGAAAGAGCAGAGCAGGAUAAACAAAUCAAUUCAUUUAUUGACAUAUAUCAAACAUAUAGUAUGUCUUUUUUCAUCGAGUGAUAAAUCUCACAUGUGAUUUUUUUUCUUGUUUCACGGUUAAAGCCAAGAUGUUGUUGACUUGAGAUGUAAAAGUAUUAAUCUAACUAUUUCAUACUAUUAAAAAAUAUUCUUCGCAUAACGAUACCCUCGACUUUCAAUAUACUUCAUUAUAAUAAAUUGAAUUAAUCUUAUGUUGUUAACAUCUUAAGCUUUCAUUAUAUGUCCGGAAGAAGAACAUUCUCAUGGAUUGUAACAUAUGAUACAUUUUUACGCAUGCACUUGAAGGAAGGGAAAUACAGUGGCCCACGUUUUGAGGUUCAUACGAUAAUUAUAGUAUAAUUAUUCUACAAUUUUUCAUUAGCUCACGAAUAUAGUAUGUUUUCAAUUAUAGAUGGAGAUUGUUACUUCUCCAAAUAUGCAGUCGGAGGAUAUUGCUAGUCGCCUUACACGGUUAGAAGAAGAGGUUAGUCAGGGGAUGUAAAUGCUCUCCGAGAAGUGAGGGCCUGGCCGCCCAAAAGGUUCGAAAAAGAAGCCGGUGCAGGAAGCUCCGGAAGGUAGCAUUAAAAGUCGACUCAGGAAUGCAAGUGAACUAGGCUACAAGCCGAGGGAAUUUGUAGUUGAGGGAUAAUAUUGCUCAUGGUAGUUGGUCGGAAAUGGAUUAUUAUCCAGAUUUUAGUUACUGAUUUGAUGCCUUUGUUUCUCUUUUUUCGUUUUUCGAUCCUUUUUUGAGUUUCGGACCCUUAGUUUGCUCUUUGUGCUUUCAAGGGAUGCUACUUUUUCUUUUUCUUUUUUAUAUUAAACCUCAAUUUCAUCAAUUAUAGAUGGAGAUACAACGCCGCAUCUAAGAGAUUCAGACCACUCAAGUCAGAGAUACGACUCCAGAAGAGGUACAUCACAUCUUUAAGGAGGUAGUGACGAGCGACUCAAAAGGGGUGUGGUCGGGAUGGACAUGAUGUCACAGAUGAUAUCUAGUGGAUCCAGUACUCAGUCCACUAGCAGCACGUCUCAGACUGCUCCUGCUGUUUCUCUUGAAGAGGUCGAGGCACAUAAGGCUACAUUAGAUGCGCAGGUUGCUAUAGGUGACAACCUCAAAACCCAAUUGUUAGAGCAAAAUGGCACCAUCAAUGAUUUGAAGCGUAUGAUGAUGGAGUGGAUGGCACAAACACGGAGGGUAUUAAUUGUUGAUGCAACUUGUAUUUUGAAUUUAUGUUGUCAUUAGAGUUUGAAUUCAAAUUCUUAGUUUAAUUUAAGCCUGUGAUAUGAAUUUGGAUGCUUAUUUGUAGUUUGAAUUUGAAUAUUUAAUUAUUAUUAGUAUGUUUGAAUUGAUGUUUAAUUGAUAAUUUUAUUGAUACAACAGGUUUAUACAGUUAAAAUUAAAUAAAUAAAUAAAUUUUCGACAGAUUAAUGAAUGAAAAGAAAAUACACAAAAAAGAUAAUUUCUCAACGAAUAGUUUCCCGUUGUAAACCUCUUCACCAAAAUUUGGUGACUUGGGUAACCUGCGAUUUAACGAUGGGAUAUACCUGCCGAUGAUCCGUAAUUUUUCUACGAUUAAAUAGCAAUACCUAUUUCCGUCGUCAAUCUGUCGAUAAAUAAUUUAACGACGUAAUUAUUGAAGUUUACGAAGGAAAUUUUCGUUGUUAAUAGCGUAGUGAGUAGUGCAAGAUAUAAACAUAUAUCCAAAUUUGUAUUUAUUCACUGGGAAAAUUCUAAAUAAUAUAUAAUGAAAGACAAAUACUACUUUAAUUUAUUAAUCAUUAAAGGAAAUUUUAGUCUCUUUUCCAAUCUCGUUGAAUAAUUAACUUAGAGAAUUCACAUCCACGAGCCAAGCUUCCAGGCUUGCAAGUGGGCCCCAUCCGUCCGGGCCACUGGAUCUGCAGCAGCGAGCCCCAUCUCCUGUUGCCCAUAAUUUUGACGAUUUUUUUUCAUUUUAUGGCCAUCAUUUUUUGAUUGGGGUGUGUAGAAUACGCUGAUGAGGGGUUCGAGCGAGUCGGGCGCGCAAACGCUAUGCUAGCCCCAUUACAAAUGCUCUUAAAGAAAACAUAGAAAUCAUUUUUACUUAUUUACUACUCCACAUUAAUAUAUAUAGUCUAUAUGAUGUUGUCUGGUUUUUCAGAAUUCUAAACAUCAGUUUGAAAACUAAUGCGAGAGUGACAACUAAUAAAAUUUAAUUUUAAAAAAUACUAUACGCAAUUAGUACAAAUUUUGCUACUUUACUAGAUAUAAAUCCCGGAAACAGGCAAGUUUUUGCAGAGCAGAAAGUGUUUUACAAAACUUGGUCAAUGAAAAAAGGAGAAAUAUUUGAAAAUAAAGCAUAAAGGGACUAGCUAGUAUAGAUCAUUAUUUACAAACAAGAAGAUAGGAAACUAAAAAACAAAGAAAAAAAAAAAAAGAAAGAAGAGAGAAGAAAUUUAGUCAGGUUGUAGAAAUAGGAGAAGGGGCAGAGAUAAUCAUAAGAGUUGGGCAAUGACACUUGUAUAACAACUGUUUAAAGACAAAAGAAUAACAUGGAUGUAAAUGAUACAUGACAAAUAUUCAGCCAUAGUCUUAAAAUCCUAUAUUCAUAGCUGCAGUCUUAUGUACAUAUAGCCCUAGGCCUAGACUGAUUUGUCACCACUUCUCAAUUAUAUAGGAAAUAUAAAUGUAAUUAAGUUGUGUUUAAUUAACAAAAGGUUCAAGAAUAUUAAGUGCAACAUACUAUAUGAUUUGGUAACGCCUCUAGACCUACUCAGAAUAUAAUUUAUCAAUGACCUCAAUAAUUUAAUCUUUUAAUUUUUUUUUCUUCCACAUCUAGAAACUAUAAUUUAUUUAAAUUCUACAAUUUUUAUACUUUAUCAAUAAUCCACUACAAUCUAAAUAGUUUUUCUUUUUUUAUUAUUUAUUAUCAUAUUUUUUAAUGACUUAAUAUAUUAAAAUACCCACUUCCUUUUUUAAUUAUAAAAUGCCAAAUGGCACUUUUUUAUUUGAUUGUGUAAUAGGUUGGUCCGCAGAAUGCAAACACAAUCGAUUGGUGUAGAAGUUAAUAUUUUAUCUUUUUUUCUAUUUAAAAUUUUUGUCCCUAUUCUACAACCGGUUGCGUUGGAUUGUGAGAAAACAUAGCCACACAAAAUAACAAACUGAGUAAACAAUUUCUGUUUUUUAUUUUUUUGGUGGUUUAUUUUUGUGCUUAAUUAUGAAUUAGGAGAAUCUUGAUUGAUUUGGACUGUUCCUAAACACUUAAAUUAACAAAAGGAUAGAUUGCAGUGUAGCAANCGCAUGAACUCAAAGCCCUUCACCUGAAUAAGAGGAAAUUAAGCAGUACUAUCAUCAAAACAACGCAUAUAUUAGCUGAAAUCAUGAUCGUAUAAUUAAAAAUGGGUCCAAAUUGAUAAAUUAAAAAAAAGCAAGAAUCUAGCAUGACUAUAUGGGAGAGAGAGAGAGACAGAGAUGUAAAAAUAGUAUGCUAUAAGAAGUAAAAAGAAUAUAGUUAGAGAGGUACAGACACAAGAUAAUAAGAAUAUCUGUGUAUGUAUAUAUGUCUCCGGAGAGGAAGGAGUGAUGCUGUCAGAGCAUGACCUAGUUCGGGCUCAUUUUUCAUUUCUUUUAUAGAAACAGUUUCAUCUUCUUUCUAGAAGAAAGCGAAGAAGAAACAAACUAUCCCGACGUAGAUCAUGCUGGCAGCUUCACUUAUUCCUUUCCUAGAUACUUCAUCAAAUCAAGAAGCAGCUGCGAGCAUAUAAGAGAGAAAGAGAGAGAGAAUUUG
rnacentral:lncRNA from 1 species